rnacentral:RNase_P_RNA from 3 species
GGCCGCAGUAGGGGGUCACGGGUAAAGCUGAGGAAACUCCAGCCUCCUAGCCCAGUGGAGUCCCAAUAGGGACAAGGGCAGUCCCCUUGGCCACUGCACAGAAACGACAUCCCUGAGGUCGGAGAUGAAGGUGAUUGGACUCCCAGCGCGGCGACGUGCUGGGAUACAUGAGAUCGACCUCGGGGAAUGAAACGGCAGUCCUCCACGGAGCAAGUUGAGGAGGAGAUGAGCUUGGGCUCGAUCCUCCUCUGGUACGCUAAGUCAAAUCCCCCAAUUUACAGAAGCUGGGUUACUGCUGCGGCC